rnacentral:rRNA from 1 species
CCUGGUAGUCCACGCUGUAAACGAUGUCGACUUGGAGGUUGUGCCCUUGAGGCGUGGCUUCCGGAGCUAACGCGUUAAGUCGACCGCCUGGGGAGUACGGCCGCAAGGUUAAAACUCAAAUGAAUUGACGGGGGCCCGCACAAGCGGUGGAGCAUGUGGUUUAAUUCGAUGCAACGCGAAGAACCUUACCUACUCUUGACAUCCACGGAACUUGCCAGAGAUGGCUUGGUGCCUUCGGGAACCGUGAGACAGGUGCUGCAUGGCUGUCGUCAGCUCGUGUUGUGAAAUGUUGGGUUAAGUCCCGCAACGAGCGCAACCCUUAUCCUUUGUUGCCAGCGGUCCGGCCGGGAACUCAAAGGAGACUGCCAGUGAUAAACUGGAGGAAGGUGGGGAUGACGUCAAGUCAUCAUGGCCCUUACGAGUAGGGCUACACACGUGCUACAAUGGCGCAUACAAAGAGAAGCGAACUCGCGAGAGCAAGCGGACCUCAUAAAGUGCGUCGUAGUCCGGAUCGGAGUCUGCAACUCGACUCCGUGAAGUCGGAAUCGCUAGUAAUCGUGGAUCAGAAUGCCACGGUGAAUACGUUCCCGGGCCUUGUACACACCGCCCGUCACACCAUGGGAGUGGGUUGCAAAAGAAGUAGGUAGCUUAACCUUCGGGAGGGCGCUUACCACUUUGUGAUUCAUGACUGGGGUGAAGUCGUAACAAGGUAACC